GUUUUACUAUUAGUAUUAGUAUUAGUUGCAGCAGUCUCUGCUAAAAAGUACUACAUAUUUAGAAACAAACUCAACUGACAUGGCGCAUAUCCAGACUGUCAAUUGCGAGGUUUGCAAUUAGCCAGUCUUUGUUUGCAAGACUCUCUCUAAAAAAAUCAGUAAAUUGUGUUGGUAAAUAAAACUUACUCGUAUAUUAUAUCAAUUAUAACGUUUAGAAAUUAUUUGGUGGUGUUUAAAUUCACUAAAAGAAUGGAUGUGGAUUGCCGGAACAGAUUUGGGGGAAGAAGGGAAAUUUGUUUGGAUGACUACCAGAUUUACCAUUUUGCUUAUAAAAAGUUUAGCGCUGGUAGGCUUGAUAGUCUAGGAACACAACGGAGUUGUUUUUGGAAUGAUUGGCCCUGUAAUAAAUUAUUAGUCUACAUCUGUGAGAAUAAACCCAAAAAUUGUCGCACAUAAUAGUUGUUUUCAAAAAUUGGAAAAACCUAAUGUUAAUUGAUAAUAAAAUUUUAAAGCAAA